AUGGAGUUUGUGGCGAUUUCUUACAGCUACCACAGAGAUAUAGCGGCUUGGAGCAGGGGUCUAGCAGAGGAGAAAAAUCGUAAGUCACUGGACUCAAGAUGCUGUAUUUUUGCAACAGUAAAGAGCUGCCUAGCAUGUGUAAGGCCCUGGUUCAAACCCCAGCGAGGUGGGCACGCGCGCGCGCACACACACGUCUUUUUGGAAGUAAGACCAACAGCACUUGCUGUUUACGGCUCGGGGCGCCCUGAGAGUGGAUGGACGAUGACACCGCUGUGCAGGGGGACAGGACAGGGAUCCCGAGGGGAACCGGCCGUGGCUGUGGCCCUCUGCAGAGGGAAUCUGCAGCGCUUGCUGCUGCCUGGCAAGAGGUGAGAGGGGCAGGCGGCCGGAGAGGCCGGCCGGGCGCGCGAGGACUGACGCAGCGGGAUCCCAGGCGACCCCGCGCCCCUCCACGCCCGCAGAGAGGAACCCCCGACCUCACUCCCUUCCGCCCGGCAGGCACCGCGCGGGCACAGUGCGCAGGCGCGCGCCGU
rnacentral:lncRNA from 1 species